ACUCCAUCCGCUUAGCUCUCUUUCUCCUCUGCUCCAUCCCCACCUACCUCUUGCGCUCAAUAGCCAUGGAUGAGCUCCACCUUUUCCAUCGCCUCUCAAGCGCGACCCCCAUCCCCUCCCCCACAGCACCAUCCUGCUUCCAAUCAGGGGCGUAGCGCCACUGCUGCAGCCUAGAGGCCUUUGGCAACGCGAACGUCAACGUCCUGCGGCAUGCCGGAACCGGUGAAGCCACCGUGCUACAACCGACGAGGUGCCGUGCUUCCAUGGCGUCACCACGCCAACCGGUGUGCUGCAGCCGUGUUCAGCACGAGCUGGAACAGGACGACGUGGAUGUUGCGACCGCAAUCACCACGGCCGCAUGCUGGGAACCGGCAUGGCAAGGAGCUGGAACCGGCACCGGCUUUGUGUUUUUGCUGGAACCGGCAUGUUAUUUUGCUGGAAGUAGCUUGAUUUUUUGCUACAAUCGACUCUGGAGCUUUUCCUUGCUAAAUUUGCUUUUGCUGGAACCGGCGCAUAUUUUGCUGGAAGCUAGUGUUUUUUUGCUACAACCAUUGAAGCUUUUUUUGCUGGAACCGGGGCAGCAAAAAGCUACAUCCAGCACUGCCGGCGAUGGAGACGACGUCCUGCGGUGCUGCAUCCAGGGCUCGCCGGCCACCACGGUAAUCAUCGGUUUUUGCUACAACCGGUGUCAAAAUUUGCUACAACCGAUGUCAAAAUUUGCUACAACCGGUGUAUUUGCAUUUUUGCUACCUUGCACAAGCCAGCGUAUGGAUUUUUUGCUACAACCCUCGCUCGAUUUUGCUGGAACGGCGCUCGUUUUUUGCUGGAACAGGUGAUCGAGAUGUUACGACGGUGAGAUCUGACCGACGAGCUGCGGCAUCAAGCGUGAGCGGCGACGAGCACGAUGGCGAGCUAUGGCCCUCGCCAUUGAAGCUGCAAUCGUCGCCACCAGAGCUACAACCACGGGUGCCGAUGUUACAUGCGUGGAGCUGGCCACCGGCGGCGACGGCGACGGCGAUCAUCGGCGACGGUGACGACCAACGGCGAGGGGCGGACCGGCGAUGACCAUCGGCGGGGGGCCGCGACCGGUGGUGAUUUUGAAGUUGGUCGCCCUCGCUCAUCCAUGGCAGCGGUACCCGCUGCUCCUUUUUUCCGUUGUGCUCGCGAGAUUCAUUUUUUUUUUAAGAAAGGAACUGCACGAGAGCCCAAUCUGACGGCAACACGUGCUUGCAUCGAACAGUUGGGGCUCGACCGGCCGAAAUGGUUAGGCCGGUGCGCCGGCGCCUAUAAGCGCCCUUUGGAAAAUGUAGGGAAACUUUGGGCUGCUACUGUUCGGAACACAGACUAAAAAGAAACGGCGGGAGUACAUGCGUGAGGCCGGUGUGGAAUUACUUCAUGUGUGUACGAAGUUGAGAUUAUUUGUGUGUGUGAUGAAGAUCGAAUGUCGGUACUCAAUCAGCCUGGUCAAUUACUACAAGUAUACGAGAUGGGAGAUGAUGGCCUUCAUCACGUACGUGAGCAUGUGAUACAGUCGUCGUGAGACUACAACAAAGACCAACGCUUUUCGUGAGGUUAUGCCUGAGAUCUCCAGACAACAUGAACAGUCCCGGUGGAGAUCACAAUACAGAACUACUAUGCAGCCGAUAGUCAGUCGCUGAUCAAUAGACGAUGCUACAUCCAACGGGUGUGCUUCAUUCUGUCCCGUGCAUGCAUGGUUGGAUCAAUGGGUUCGUGCAAUAAUUGGCUGAGCAAUGUCGUGUGUGUAGCAGCACUCAUCACAAUGUUGCUUUCAGGAGUAUCAUUCAAGGUUUGGACCCGGAAAAAAUACCUCUCAAGGCUAGGGGCUUUUACUUGGAGUAAUUAACAUGUAUGACUACCCUUUUCUAGGAAAACUUGAUUGGGUAUUUACAUGUAUGACUACCCUUUUCUAGGAAAACUUGACUGGGUAUUUACAUCCCCUAAAUACACAUCUUCAUACCUUGACACUAUAGCAAUCCCCUUGGCUAGAACCACAAAUGAUCAUGUCUAAGAUUUCAUAAUAAUAGUUUAAAGGGUCAAAUCUUCAGAUUUGAGGAGUACUGGUUGGAAUUUGAGGGCUUCUAAGACAUUGUACAGAACAACUGGAAUAAUAUUACUU